GUUUAGAAAGGGAACAUUAUAUAUUUAUUUUCUCCAUCAAAACAACAGUAUCACGUGGGUGGCUAACGUACGAUAUUCGAUAGGUGGCGCUCUGUAAACGGAUAGUCGCAGAUCAGUAUGAAAUAUAUUUGCUCUAUUUUCGUUUAAAUUAUAUCUAAUCUCCUCGAAUUAGUCUAAGAAGUGUUUAUAUAAUUUACAAUGAAGCUGUUAUCAUUUUUGAGGGCUUCAUUUUAUAGUGGUAAAUAAUUUAGUAAAUUCGAAUUUGCGACUUAUCGGAUUUGAAAUUCAAUUGUAUUGGCGAACAAAAAAACGACGGGUUGACAGACAAAGUUGUAUAUUCCAAACAAAAGAAAAAGAUUGUGAAAAUUAUGAUAAUUCAACAUGUGUCAAAAGUUCAGGAGGAAGAUGAAAAUAUUUAGAGGAAAAGAAAAAUGAAAACCUACCAAGAUUUUGUGACAGAAAGUGUGAUGAGAUCUCAGGUUGGAGACGGUAAAGAUACGCUUAAAGUAUUCCCCAGAUCGACAUAGUGUAGGAGGACGAAAGAAGCUAGAAUACUAAUGAAGAUACAUGAACAUUGCUAUUUAUAGUUAUAACAAAAUAUUCAGAAUAUUGAGUUGGAUAGAUGAUUGAAAAAUCCCAAUUUCAGAGUGAUCAGUUCAGUGGUGAUAUAAGAAAAAAAACAUGCAUGGAUGUUUGCUAUAUAAAAUGUCAGUGUUAAUAUUCAAGAAGGAUUUUGUUUAUCUUAUUUCUAAAACAUGCUUAAUUAAUACGUGAAGCGUUAUUAAAGUACAUACCGUCAAGUUUAAUAGUUUCAAAAAAUAUUAUGUAAAUCUUGCAUUUGUUAUAGUACCACAUUUCUUGUUUUGUACUUGUGAUUCCGAGUAUAAAAUAAAUUGCUAAAAUCAUAAGAAUGCUUAUUUAUUAAUCCUAUUAAAGAGCUUCAAAAUGAAAAAAAUCAUAUUCCAAAAGUUUUGAAUGAGGUUAAAUCAUGGUCAGAAAAUAUGGUCAGAUAAGGUUGGCAUAUGGUCAGAUAAUGGUCAGAAAAGGUUGGAUUAUGGUCAGAAAAAGGUUGGAUUAUGUCCAAAUAAUGGUCAGAAAAGGUUGGAUUAUGGUCAGAUAAUAGUCAGAAAAGGUUGGAUUAUGGUCAGAAAAGGUUGGAUAAAGGUCAUUUUAUGACGUUGUAUAGACGUCGGUUUCUGACGUCUAAAAAACUUUCAAAUCCAACCUUCUGCCAACGUUUACCCAACGUCAGGGUCUAACGUCAGUACAACGUUGGUACAACGUCUUUUGUUUGCUGGGUAGUUGGACU